rnacentral:rRNA from 1 species
GAGUUUGAUCCUGGCUCAGGACGAACGCUGGCGGCGCGCCUAACACAUGCAAGUCGAACGGAGCUGAGAGGAGCUUGCUUUUCUUAGCUUAGUGGCGAACGGGUGAGUAACGCGUGAGUAACCUGCCCUGGAGUGGGGGACAACAGUUGGAAACGACUGCUAAUACCGCAUAAGCCCACGAUCCGGCAUCGGAUUGAGGGAAAAGGAUUUAUUCGCUUCAGGAUGGACUCGCGUCCAAUUAGCUAGUUGGUGAGGUAACGGCCCACCAAGGCGACGAUUGGUAGCCGGACUGAGAGGUUGAACGGCCACAUUGGGACUGAGACACGGCCCAGACUCCUACGGGAGGCAGCAGUGGGGGAUAUUGCACAAUGGGGGAAACCCUGAUGCAGCGACGCCGCGUGGAGGAAGAAGGUUUUCGGAUUGUAAACUCCUGUCGUUAGGGACGAUAAUGACGGUACCUAACAAGAAAGCACCGGCUAACUACGUGCCAGCCGCCGCGGUAAUAC